UACGAAGGGGGCUAGCGUUGUUCGGAAUUACUGGGCGUAAAGCGCGCGCAGGCGGUCCUUCAAGUCAGUGGUGAAAGCCCAGGGCUCAACCCUGGAACUGCCUUUGAGACUAGAGGACUUGGGUACGGGAGAGGUGAGUGGAAUUCCGAGUGUAGAGGUGAAAUUCGUAGAUAUUCGGAAGAACACCAGUGGCGAAGGCGGCUCACUGGCCCGUUACCGACGCUCAGGCGCGACAGCGUGGGGAGCAAACAGG
rnacentral:rRNA from 1 species